GGAGAGGUGGCCGAGUGGUUGAAGGCGCAUGCCUGGAACGCAUGUAUGCUCGCAAGGGCAUCGGGGGUUCGAAUCCCUUCCUCUCCG
rnacentral:tRNA from 1 species